rnacentral:tRNA from 1 species
GCCGGAGUGGCGGAAUUGGCAGACGCGACGGAUUCAAAAUCCGUUGCCCGCAAGGGCUUGUGGGUUCGAGUCCCACCUCCGGUA